UAGGGAAUCUUCCACAAUGGACGAAAGUCUGAUGGAGCAACGCCGCGUGAGUGAAGAAGGUUUCGGAUCGUAAAGCUCUGUUGUUGGUGAAGAAGGAUAGAGGCAGUAACUGGUCUUUAUUUGACGGUAAUCAACCAGAAAGUCACGGCUAACUACGUGCCA
rnacentral:rRNA from 1 species